UCUCUCGUGGCCUAGUAGUUGGGACGUCCGACUCGGAUACGGGAGGUCGUGGGUUCGAUACCCGGUCGAAACAU